UACGGAGGGGGCUAGCGUUGUCCGGAAUCAUUGGGCGUAAAGAGCGUGUAGGCGGCCCGAUAAGUCCGCCGUGAAAGUCCAGGGCUCAACCCUGGAAUGCCGGUGGAAACUGUCGGGCUGGAGUCCGGAAGAGGCGAGUGGAAUUCCUGGUGUAGCGGUGAAAUGCGCAGAUAUCAGGAGGAACACCAAUGGCGAAGGCAGCUCGCUGGGACGGUACUGACGCUGAGACGCGAAAGCGUGGGGAGCAAACAGG
rnacentral:rRNA from 1 species